UUUUAUGCUGGUAUAAGGGAGACAUCUGUUUUUCAGUAGCAAAUGCCACCUGUUUCCAAUACCUUCUCUUGUCUGCACUUCCUUCCCUUAGAUGACUUGUUAGCUACAGAGAAAAAUGUGGAAGGGAUAUGGGAGUAACAUACUGCCUGCUAUCCACAUUGGGUAACAGAAGGCCCCUGCUAUGAGGACCUGGGAGGCCACGUGCUUCAGAUGGCAGAGCUACAAGAGAGAGGAGAGCUGUCGGCCAUAUUGGACAUCAUCACACUAUCCGGCCACAAGAGGUGCUUCCGUC